rfam:Geobacter sp. M18, complete genome.
CUACCGGCGUCGAGAGACGUCGGGAUGGGUUGGCAGAAGUCAGCAGAGGCCAUACGAGCCGGAAGACCGACCGGCAAAGGGC